UUCUCCUACGGGGGGCAGCAGUGGGGAAUAUUGCACAAUGGGGGGAACCCUGAUGCAGCAACGCCGCGUGAGUGAAGAAGUAAUUCGGUAUGUAAAGCUCUAUCAGCAGGGAAGAAGAUGACGGUACCUGAGUAAGAAGCCCCGGCUAACUACGUGCCAGCAGCCGCGGUAAUACGUAGGGGGCAAGCGUUAUCCGGAUUUACUGGGUGUAAAGGGAGCGUAGACGGCGAGGCAAGUCUGGAGUGAAAGCCCGGGGCUCAACCCCGGGACUGCUUUGGAAACUGCCUGGCUGGAGUGCUGGAAAG
rnacentral:rRNA from 1 species